rnacentral:lncRNA from 1 species
GGCGUGGUCAAUAGCGGCAUUUUUUGUGGCGCUUGUUGAAGCGCCGCAAAUACUUACAACUGCGCUAAAAGGCGCCGCUGAAGGCCUAAAAAAAUGCCGUUAAAACCCUAUUUUGGUGUAGUGAUAGUAAGAUCAUCUAGCUGUAAGCUGCAAUCAACAGCACAUGAUGAAUUAUGUAAAAUACCAUGACGUAGAACCUCACCUUUUUCAAAUAACUCAUUUCCUUCACAAGCAGACUCUCCUCUUCCUUAAGUUCAGCAAAAGUCUGAAAAAUGACGGAUUCUUCCAGUUAAUAAUAAUACCCCUGAAUGAAUCAUCUUCGGAUUUUCUUUCAUAAAACAUUUCCCACCAAAAACAUGAAUCAAAAAGAUCAAUCACUUUACGUUCUUUCUUCUCUAUCUCUUCGUGGUUGUGCUAGUGGUUCCAUUAGCAGUAACGCCCUGCAAAAUACAUCAACUGAUCAAUAUAAUUUUAAACUGCAAAAUACAUCAACUGAUCAAGAACCAACAAAUUGAAAAAAAAAAUGCUAUAGGAUAAUUUGGAAUACUAGAUGGAUGAAAAUAGUAAAUUUCAAAAGUGGAUAAACAAUUGAACAAAAGCUUGGAGAUUUGGUGGCAGCCCACCUAAAACCCAGGCACAAUUAAAAUCUAAUUUUGAUAAUAAGCUUUCAAGGGUGUUCCAAUGGCGGGUUUUGAGAUAUUUGUGUAUGACAGCAGCGUAGAAAUUGGGAAGCCAAAGCCAGUCCACUAACCCAGCCGCUCCUACUCACGGAAGUGGGCAAUAGUAACACGGCACGCCACAUUACCAAAGAUGUUAACACAUGAUUGAAUUUAAACCUUAUAUCCAUCCAUUGUAUUUGAACUGUUCAGGUCACGUGACUUUUUUAUCAUAUGAUCUGUCCUGACGGCAACCAGUUAUUGGGUCACUACCUGUAUAAGCACUUGCAUUCCCAUUUUGUCUCCCAGUUGUAUUUCCAACUAAUUAUCACUGUUCAUUCUACCUUCGCCACUAUUCAAAGAUUAGAUUUCAUAGCUUCUCAAUCUUAUCUCAAAGAAUCUAUAAUUAAGAUGCUUUAAUAAUCGCG